rnacentral:misc_RNA from 1 species
GAUGAAGAACGCAGCGAAAUGCGAUAAGUAAUGUGAAUUGCAGAAUUCCGUGAAUCAUCGAAUCUUUGAACGCACAUUGCGCCCCCUGGUAUUCCGGGGGGCAUGCCUGUCCGAGCGUCAUUGCAACCUUCAAGCGCGGCUUGUGUGUUGGGUCUCGUCCCCCGUGGACGGGCCCGAAAGGCAGUGGCGGCGUCCCGACAUGGUGCCCGAGCGUAUGGGAAUCCUCUUCCGCUCGAAUCGGCCCAUGCGGCGCUGGUCGUAACCAAAUUUUUUACCGGUUGACCUCGGAUCAGGUAGGGAUACCCGCUGAACUUAAGCAUAUCAAUAAGCGAGA